rnacentral:lncRNA from 1 species
GUCACUCCUGGCUCAUCUCUCAACAUGCUGUGGAUUUGUAUGCCUUCAUGUCUUGACUGAUUUUUUUUUUCUUGAUCAUGGAGCCAGAAGUCUCAAAUUCAAGGUCUGCUGCCACCUUCAUAUUGAGGUUCUUGGAAGUAUUGUUACUCCAUCCCAAUCUGCAUGGACCCAACCACGUGGUAUCAUAGUGAAUCUAAAUUACUGGAGCAUUUGGAUGAGCCAUGGUGGUGGCCCCUCCUGUUUUAUUCCAUUUCUCAUCAAAAGGAUUUCCUACCAUCAAGCCAACAAGACCCAGAUGUAAUUUCACUGAUGAGCAAGACAUCUCUGCCAACUGAAUUCCUAUUGAUUAGCAUCUGAUUUUGUUUGUCAGCAAAAAGUAAAACGUAUUAUUUAAUGUCACGUUUGGUACAUAACCAGCGGGUUUAAGUGGUGGGAGGGAAGGGUGUGGAUGCAGGGGUCUCUU